AACGAACGCUGGCGGCAGGCUAAACACAUGCAAGUCGAGCGCAUCCUUCGGGGUGAGCGGCGGACGGGUGAGUAACGCGUGGGAACGUGCCCUCUUCUACGGAAUAGCCUCGGGAAACUGAGAGUAAUGCCGUAUACGCCCGCAAGGGGAAAGAUUUAUCGGAGGAGGAUCGGCCCGCGUUGGAUUAGGUAGUUGGUGGGGUAACGGCCUACCAAGCCGACGAUCCAUAGCUGGUUUGAGAGGAUGAUCAGCCACACUGGGACUGAGACACGGCCCAGACUCCUACGGGAGGCAGCAGUGGGGAAUCUUGGACAAUGGGGGCAACCCUGAUCCAGCCAUGCCGCGUGAUCGAUGAAGGCCUUAGGGUUGUAAAGAUCUUUCAGCUGGGAAGAUAAUGACGGUACCAGCAGAAGAAGCCCCGGCUAACUCCGUG
rnacentral:rRNA from 1 species